GUGCAUUUGUAUUCAGAUAUCGCAGAUCAAAUUAAUUCGUUCAUUGUUUAAUCAUAGGUUUUUUGAUUGAGUUAAGUCUGCCAAUUGAUAUUUUAUCGUAUGUUUUUCUUUGUUGUGAUGUUAUGCUAUUGUUUCAGAAAAAGGGAGAAGGUUUGGAUCCAUUAAAACAUUUAAUCCCGCUGCAAAUGUUUGCACCUGUCCUAAGUCAGGAAUCUGAUGUACAAUAGUUGUCGUUUGUUUAUGUAAUAUAUACGUGUUUCUCGUUUCUCGUUUUGUUUAUAUAGAUUAGACCGUUGGUUUUCCCGUUUGAAUGGUUUUACACUAGUAAUUGUGGGGCCCUUUAUAGCUUGUUGUUCGGUGUGAGCCAAGGCUCCGUGUUGAAGGCUGUACUUUAACCUAUAAUGGUUUACUUUUUAAAUUGUUAUUUUUAUGGAGAGUUGUCUCAUUGGCACUCACACCACAUCUUCCUAUAUC
rnacentral:lncRNA from 1 species